UACAGGGGGUGCAAACGUUUGCUCGGAAUCAUUGGGCGUAAAGCGCACGUAGGCGGUUCGUUAUGUCGGAUGUGAAAGCCCUUGGCUUAACCGAGGAAGUGCAUCCGAAACUGGCGAGCUAGAGUACGAAAGAGGAUCGCGGAAUUCCCGGUGUAGAGGUGAAAUUCGUAGAUAUCGGGAGGAACACCGGUGGCGAAGGCGGCGAUCUGGGUCGAUACUGACGCUGAGGUGCGAAAGCGUGGGGAGCAAACAGG
rnacentral:rRNA from 1 species